CCUGACAAUGAUGGAAUCCGGGAAUGCCCAGUUCUACCCUGGAAGCUACCCCGGAGGAGUCGGAAACUACCCUGGAAAUCGCUAUCCUGGUGGCAUCGGGGGGAACAUAGGUGGCAUUUACCCUGGCAACCGUUACCCUGGUGGAGGUGGCAUUUACCCCCGGUACGGGUAAGCUGGAAUGACCUCAAAGACAGAAUGUCCUCCAUCGCAGAAGGAUUCAGGAACUCUGGGGCCUCCUGGAAAAUCAACAGGUGAUUCAAGCAACGCUUAACAAGGACAUUUGCUUUUCUGUCUAGUUGCGGACUAAUAAAUAUAUUGUGUUU